rnacentral:lncRNA from 1 species
GGUGUAUUUUUUUGAAAGUUGAAAAGAAGUAUUUGGAGAGAGAAGCUUCUUGGCAUGAAUUUAGGUAGAAAAAAUGCAUGAAUUAGAACUUAGAUGAGAGAGAUAUGCUUCUUUAAACUUAGGAUACUAAUUUGAUAACUACUAUCACUUUUCCAUGCAUAUUAGGAGUUUUAAGAUACUAGCAAGAAAUCAAGGAGUUGGGUUAGAAACUAGACUUUAAGUUGAACAUUAUAUGUAUAAGAAUCAAUAGAAGUGAAUCUAGAAUGAAUGAGAUAUGACUGAUUCAAACCAACAAACUAAAACUAGGGUUUUGAAGAAAUUAGAGAAAUAGAGGGUUUUGGUUUUAAGCUAGAACUUGAGCUUCAAGACGAAUUUGAAGCUCUUUUUU